rnacentral:rRNA from 1 species
AACGAACGCUGGCGGCAUGCCUAACACAUGCAAGUCGAACGAAGGCUUCGGCCUUAGUGGCGCACGGGUGCGUAACGCGUGGGAAUCUGCCUUUAGGUUCGGAAUAACAGUUAGAAAUGCCUGCUAAUACCGGAUGAUGACGUAAGUCCAAAGAUUUAUCGCCUGAGGAUGAGCCUGCGUAGGAUUAGCUAGUUGGUGUGGUAAAGGCGCACAAAGGCGACGAUCCUUAGCUGGUCUGAGAGGAUGAUCAGCCACACUGGGGGUGGGACACGGCCCAGACUCCUACGGGAGGCAGCAGUGGGGAAUACAGGACAAUGGGCUCAAUCCUGAUGCAGCAAUGCCGCGUGAGUGAUGAAGGCCGUAGGGUUGUAAAGCUCUUUUACCCGUGAUGAUAAUGACGGUAGCGGGAGAAUAAGCCCCGGCUAACUCCGUG